ACUACGGGUGGCAGCAGUGAGGAAUAUUGGUCAAUGGACGAGAGUCUGAACCAGCCAAGUAGCGUGAAGGAUGACUGCCCUAUGGGUUGUAAACUUCUUUUAUAUGGGAAUAAAAUGUUCCACGUGUGGGAUUUUGUAUGUACCAUAUGAAUAAGGAUCGGCUAACUCCGUGCCAGCAGCCGCGGUAAUACGGAGGAUCCGAGCGUUAUCCGGAUUUAUUGGGUUUAAAGGGAGCGUAGAUGGGUUGUUAAGUCAGUUGGGAAAGUUUGCGGCUCAACCGUAAAAUUGCAAUUGAUACUGGCAGUCUUGAGUACAGUUGAGGUAGGCGGAAUUCGUGGUGUAGCGGUGAAAUGCUUAGAUAUCACGAAGAACUCCGAUUGCGAAGGCAGCUUACUAAACUGCCACUGACAUUGAUGCUCGAAAGUGUGGGUAUCAAACAGGAUUAGAUACCCUUGUAGUC
rnacentral:rRNA from 1 species